GAUGAAGAACGUAGCGAAAUGCGAUAAGUAAUGUGAAUUGCAGAAUUCAGUGAAUCAUCGAGUCUUUGAACGCACAUUGCGCCCCCUGGUAUUCCGGGGGGCAUGCCUGUCCGAGCGUCAUUGCUGCCCUCAAGCACGGCUUGUGUGUUGGGCCUCCGUCCUCCUCCCGGGGGACGGGCCCGAAAGGCAGCGGCGGCACCGCGUCCGGUCCUCGAGCGUAUGGGGCUUCGUCACCCGCUCUUGUAGGCCCGGCCGGCGCUUGCCGACACAUCAAUCUUUUUUCCAGGUUGACCUCGGAUCAGGUAGGGAUACCCGCUGAACUUAAGCUUAUCAAUAAGCGGAGGA
rnacentral:misc_RNA from 1 species